AGAAUCAACGCUGGCGGCGUGCCUAACACAUGCAAGUCGAACGCGAAAGUCCCGAAAGGGCGAGUAGAGUGGCAAACGGGUGAGUAACACGUGGGUGACCUGCCUUCGAGCGGGGGAUAACGUCCCGAAAGGGACGCUAAUACCGCAUAACAUCCUGCCUUUGAAGAGGUGGAGAUCAAAGCUGGGGAUCGCAAGACCCGGCACUUGAAGAGGGGCCCGCGUCUGAUUAGCUAGUUGGUGGGGUAACGCCUACCAAGGCAACGAUCAGUAUCCGGCCUGAGACGGGCGACGGACACGACUGGGAACUGAGACACGGCCAGACUCCACGGAGCAGCAGUGGGAAUUGUCGCAAUGGGCGCAAGCCUGACGACGCAACGCCGCGUGGAGGAGUGAAGAGUUUCGGUAGUACGUAACUACCUGUCGAAGUAGGACGAACGAGAGUUAGACGGUUAACGAGCCGUACGU
rnacentral:rRNA from 1 species